GUGCUUGCUUUGGCAGCACCUGUAGUAAAAUUGGAACGAUAAAGAGGAGAUUAGCAUAACCCCUGCACAAGGACGACACCCAAAUUUGCGCAGCAUUCCAUAUUUUU
ensembl:snRNA U6 U6 spliceosomal RNA